GGGCCCGCACAAGCGGAGGAACAUGUGGUUUAAUUCGAUGAUACGCGAGGAACCUUACCCGGGCUUGAAUUGCAGAGGAAUGGGGGAGAGAUCCUUCAGCCGCAAGGUCUCUGUGAAGGUGCUGCAUGGUUGUCGUCAGCUCGUGCCGUGAGGUGUCGGCUUAAGUGCCAUAACGAGCGCAACCCCUGUUGCCAGUUGCCAUCGGACAAUGCCGGGCACUCUGGCGAGACUGCCGUCGUAAGAUGCGAGGAAGGCGGGGAUGACGUCAAAUCAGCACGGCCCUUACGUCCGGGGCUACACACGUGUUACAAUGGGGGGUACAGCAGGAAGCGAAGCAGCGAUGCGGAGCGGAUCCCUAAAGCCCCUCCCAGUUCGGACUGGAGUCUGCAACCCGACUCCACGAAGCUGGAUUCGCUAGUAAUCGCGCAUCAGCCAUGGCGCGGUGAAUACGUUCCCGGGCCUU
rnacentral:rRNA from 1 species